UCCUAUCACCCAUUUAACCCAUUGCACCCCCACCCCAACCCCCUAUAACCAUCAAUUUGUUCUCUGUAGUAGAGUCUGUUUCUUGGUGUUUCUCUGUUUCUUUUCCCCCUAUAUUCAUUUGUUUUGUUUCUUAAAUUCCACAUGAGAGGGAAAUCAUGUGAUAUUUGUCUUUCUCUGACUGACUUAUUUCAUUUAGUGUAAUACUCUCUAGCUCCAUCCAUGUCUUUGCAAAUGGCAAGAUUUCGACAAUUUUAAGUUUUUUAAUCCAUGAACAUAUGAUGUCUUUCCAUUUACACAGGCCUUCAUCUUCUUCUUUUUUUAAAGAUUUUAUUUAUUUAUUUGAGAGAGAGAGAGAGUGAGCAUGAGUGGGAAAGGGGCAGAAGGAGAGAAGAGAAUCUCAAGCAGACUCCUAGCUGAGCAUGGUGCCCAACAUGGGGCUUGAUCCCAUGACCCUGAGAUCAUGACCUGAGCUGAAAUCAAAAGUUGGACACUCAACCGACUGAGCUACCAGGUUGCAGCAACUGAGCUGUCCAAGGGCUGACCUGUCCACAUGGUCUUGACUCCCCUUGUGGAGUGAAGGGUUCGACGCAGACUAGAGAGGAGGCCGAGGUAUUCCUUAGGGCAUUACUUCCAUGGUGAUUUGGGAGAGUAAGUUUCCAUGAUGCCACCCCCACACGCUCAACCCAAGCGAGCAGUCUCCGUAUUGAGACCAUGACAUGCACAGACCCUCAGAAGGUGAG